GUAAGUGGCGAGCGUUAUCCGGAAUCACUGGGCGUAAAGAGUGCGUAGGCGGUUUGGUAAGUUAGAUUUGAAAUCCCGGGGCUCAACUCCGGACCCGGAUCUAAAACUACCAGACUGGAGCGAAUCAGAGGACAACGGAAUUCCCGGUGUAGCGGUAAUAUGCGUAGAUAUCGGGAGGAACACCAGUGGCGAAGGCGGUUGUCUGGGGUUUUGCUGACGCUGAGGCACGAAAGCCAGGGGAGCGAACGGGAUUAGAUACCCCGGUAGUCCUGGCCCUAAACGAUGAACACUAGGUGUAGGAGGCUUCGACCCCUUCUGCGCCGCCGCUAACGCAUUAAGUGUUCCGCCUGGGGAGUACGGCCGCAAGGUUG
rnacentral:rRNA from 1 species